GACGAACGCUGGCGGCGUGCUUAACACAUGCAAGUCGAACGAGAAAGUGGAGCAAUCCAUGAGUAGAGUGGCGACCGGGUGAGUAACACGUGACUAACCUACCUCCGAGUGGGGAAUAACUCCGGGAAACCGGGGCUAAUACCGCAUAACAUCGCAAGAUCAAAGCAGCAAUGCGCUUGGAGAGGGGGUCGCGGCUGAUU
rnacentral:rRNA from 1 species